GAGGGGUGUGGGCCGUGUGCCUAGGGCAGCCCACACUGGAAAUGCCAAGGUCAGGGCAGGCUGCAAAAGGGAGAACAGAUACUCCUAAGACUAGUGGGUAACAUUAAAGUUAAACUCCUCAACCAGUCACAAACUGUGCUUCUGAUCCCCUACACUGGUCAUCAAGAAGCUAAAAAGAAAUCACUCAGUCCCCUUUAUUGUAUUCCAGUUCUCUGGCUCCCAAUCAGCA